UUAUUAUGUCGAUGUUAUAAAAAAUAAUGAUUAUAGUUUUGAUUUUUACAAGCAAAAUUAGAACAGCAAAUAUCACGAUACUUCAGCUGGAAUUAAGUCUUGCGGGAAAGUAUAAAUUUACGAGCAAACACGGAUAUGGUUUUUAAAAAAUGCGCUCUAUCAUCAUUGUAUUGCUUACAGCAGGGGUCGGCAACCUUACAGGAUGAUUACUUUAAUAUUUCAAUAUAUUUUGUGCGUUGAGGUUUUCAUAAAAUUAUCUGAACACUAUUUCUGAUACACCUACUUAACUAAGACACGGUGCAAGGUCGUCAACAGCUGCAGUCGGUUUGCUUGUAGGGAAAAGGACUUUGGUGGAAUAUUCAUCUUUAUGCAUCGUAUUGUUUGUUCGAACCGAAUAUCACACGUGAAUAUCAUGUGAUGACGACACCGAAUACCACCGGGAAUCUUUUGUCGUCGUAGGAAAUCAACGGUUAUCGGUUUCGAAACGUUAUCGUCGUUUAUUCGAAACUGCACUACCUACGCCGCGGAGUAUACUGAAAUACCAACUCGGUACUAUAAAAACUAUUCUACGUUUUCACGUACGUAAUAUAAUAAUUUAACCGACUGUGUUUUAUAUCAUAUUAAUUAUGCUUCCUACUUCCUCUUAACUAAGUGUAUUGUUGUAUAAUUUGCUACAAGAUUGCUAUAGUGGUUUCUUUUAUGUCACAAGAUUAUUUUAUGAAACUCUAAUCUUUUUGUACCUACACCUACCUACAAAAUGUGUGAUAUUACAUUAUCAGCGUUCGCCCUACGAUUAAUACAAUCGUGGAUAAAUACAUCCACUCACGCAAUUACAGGCCGUCGCCAUAGUUAGCUGAUAUUAUAUCCUAAUUGUGUCUAAAUGUAUUACCUAUAUUAUCAAUAAAUAAUAAUUUCUUAAAUGCUUGU